rnacentral:rRNA from 1 species
ACGGGCGGAGUGUACAAGGCCCGGGAACGUAUUCACCGCGACAUGCUGAUUCGCGAUUACUAGCGAUUCCAGCUUCAUGUAGUCGAGUUGCAGACUACAAUCCGAACUGGGACUGGGUUUUUGUGAUUUGCUUAACGUCGCCGUCUUGCGUCACUUUGUUACCANCCAUUGGUAGCACGUGUGUAGCCCAAGACAUAAGGGGCAUGAUGAUUUGACGUCAUCCCCACCUUCCUCCGUGUUAUCCACGGCAGUCUCUCCAGAGUGCCCAACUGAAUGAUGGCUACUGAAGAUAAGGGUUGCGCUCGUUGCGGGACUUAACCCAACAUCUCACGACACGAAGCUGACGACAAACAAUGCACCACCUGUCAACGGAUGCUCCGAAGAAAAAUCCUAUCUCUAAGGACGGUCAUCGGGAUGUCAAGCCCUGGG